CCUACGGGCGGCAGCAGUGAGGAAUAUUGGUCAAUGGACGAGAGUCUGAACCAGCCAAGUAGCGUGAAGGAUGACUGCCCUAUGGGUUGUAAACUUCUUCUAUAUGGGAAUAAAAUGUUCCACGUGUGGGCUUUUGUAUGUACCAUAUGAAUAAGGAUCGGCUAGCUCCGUGCCAUCAGCCGAGGUAAUACGGAGGAUCCGAGCGUUAUCCGGAUUUAUUGGGUUUAAAGGUAGCGCAGGUGGAUUGUUAAGUCAGUUGUGAAAUUUUGUGGCUCAACCGGAAAACUGCAUUUGAAACUGGCAGUCUUGAGUACAGUAGAGGUGGGCGGAAUUCGUGGUGUAGCGGUGAAAUGCGUAGAUAUCUCGAAGAACACCGAUGGCGAAGGCAGCUCCCUGGACUGAAACUGACACUGAGGUGCGAAAGUGUGGGUAUCAAACAGGAUUAGAUACCCGUGUAGUC
rnacentral:rRNA from 1 species